rnacentral:rRNA from 1 species
AUUGAACGCUGGCGGCAUGCCUUACACAUGCAAGUCGAACGGUAACAGGUCUUCGGAUGCUGACGAGUGGCGAACGGGUGAGUAAUACAUCGGAACGUGCCCGAGAGUGGGGGAUAACGAGGCGAAAGCUUUGCUAAUACCGCAUACGAUCUCAGGAUGAAAGCAGGGGACCGCAAGGCCUUGCGCUCACGGAGCGGCCGAUGGCAGAUUAGGUAGUUGGUGGGAUAAAAGCUUACCAAGCCGACGAUCUGUAGCUGGUCGGAGAGGACGAACGGCCACAAUGGGACUGAGACACGGCCCAGGCUCCUACGGGAGGCAGCAGUGGGGAAUUUUGGACAAUGGGCGAAAGACUGAUCCAGCCAUGCCGCGUGCAGGAUGAAGGCCUUCGGGUUGUAAACUGCUUUUGUACGGAACGAAAAGACUCUGGUUAAUACCUGGGGUCCAUGACGGUACCGUAAGAAUAAGCACCGGCUAACUACGUGCCAGCCGCCGCCGUAAGAC